GACGAACGCUGGCGGCGUGCUUAACACAUGCAAGUCGAACGAAGAGCGAUGGAAGCUUGCUUCUAUCAAUCUUAGUGGCGAACGGGUGAGUAACGCGUAAUCAACCUGCCCUUCAGAGGGGGACAACAGUUGGAAACGACUGCUAAUACCGCAUACGAUCUAAUCUCGGAAUCGAGGAUAGAUGAAAGGUGGCCUCUACAUGUAAGCUAUCACUGAAGGAGGGGAUUGCGUCUGAUUAGCUAGUUGGAGGGGUAACGGCCCACCAAGGCGAUGAUCAGUAGCCGGUCUGAGAGGAUGAACGGCCACAUUGGGACUGAGACACGGCCCAGACUCCUACGGGAGGCAGCAGUGGGGAAUCUUCCGCAAUGGACGAAAGUCUGACGGAGCAACGCCGCGUGAGUGAUGACGGCCUUCGGGUUGUAAAGCUCUGUUAAUCGGGACGAAAGGCCUUCUUGCGAAUAGUGAGAAGGAUUGACGUUACCGGAAUAGAAAGCCACGGCUAACUACGUG
rnacentral:rRNA from 1 species